rnacentral:lncRNA from 1 species
GUAAAUAAAGCUGCAGCAAUCUGGUUGAUAGCUUUUGCCAAGCAAUGAAUGUUGUUGCAGUGCCCUUCAAUGGCAGGGCUAUACUGAGACAUCACGUUACUAGCCAAAGUUGGCAAGGAGACUGCCACGAAGACCAUGAGAAGGCAAGCAAUUUUGUAUUCUUCUUCUGGACUGAUGUUUUCUGAUUUUUGGGAGGACAGUGCUACAACCAAGGCAGGAUCAAUCUCGCAAGGCAAUCCAGCAGCUGAUGACAGUUCAUAUACAUUCAUUGCCACCUUCAUGUCAGUCUCUCUUGGAAUGUGAUCUUUGAAGUCCUCAAUGGAACUUACAAGGAAAGGAAUGUGGUAGGAUAAGACAUCUCUAAGUGCUUCCUGUGCCAACGACCGAAAAGACAAGAUGACACCAAUAAUCGUCAUUCUCUUCAAAACACUGUCAACAGAUGAUAAUCUUUUGAAGAGUGCUGCCAUCUGGUCUGGCUUAUCGAAGCUGGUCCUCAUUUGUGUUAGAACUUCAACAUUCUCCACCACGAGUUUCUAAAGAGAAGCAAAGAUUUCGGUCAGCUAUCCAUUCUGACAGAUUAAUUAGAUAAAUGCACAAUUUAGGAUAUUUCUUCCCACUUUGUUUUCAUUGAGAAGCAAGGCAAGAAAAGCAAUUCUAUGGUUCUAUGAAAUAAGCUAUAAAAGAUGCAGCAAACUAACC